rnacentral:rRNA from 1 species
CCUACGGGAGGCAGCAGUGAGGAAUAUUGGUCAAUGGGCGCGAGCCUGAACCAGCCAAGUAGCGUGAAGGAUGACUGCCCUACGGGUUGUAAACUUCUUUUAUAAAGGAAUAAAGUGAGGCACGUGUGCCUUUUUGUAUGUACUUUAUGAAUAAGGAUCGGCUAACUCCGUGCCAGCAGCCGCGGUAAUACGGAGGAUCCGAGCAUUAUCCGGAUUUAUUGGGUUUAAAGGGAGCGUAGAUGGGUUGUUAAGUUAGUUGUGAAAGUUUGCGGCUCAACCGUAAAAUUGCAAUUGAUACUGGCAGCCUUGAGUACAGUUGAGGUAGGCGGAAUUCGUGGUGUAGCGGUGAAAUGCUUAGAUAUCACGAAGAACUCCGAUUGCGAAGGCAGCUUACUAAACUGCCACUGACAUUGAUGCUCGAAAGUGUGGGUAUCGAACAGGAUUAGAUACCCCAGUAGUC